UACGAAGGGGGCUAGCGUUGCUCGGAAUCACUGGGCGUAAAGCGCGUGUAGGCGGGAGGCCAAGUCUGUGGUGAAAUCGCUCGGCUUAACUGGGCGGGGUCCAUGGAAACUGGUCACCUGGAGGUCGGUAGAGGCAAGUGGAAUUCCCGGUGUAGUGGUGAAAUGCGUAGAGAUCGGGAGGAACACCAGUGGCGAAGGCGGCUUGCUGGGCCGGACCUGACGCUGAGACGCGAAGGCGUGGGGAGCGAACGGG
rnacentral:rRNA from 1 species